GUACUCGACCGGCGAAGUUGCCGGCAAGAAGGACUUAAAAUCCUUUGGCCAUUGCGGCUGUGCGGGUUCAAGUCCCGCUUCGAGUACG
rnacentral:tRNA from 1 species